rnacentral:tRNA from 1 species
GUUGAGAUGGCUCAGUGGUUAAGAGCACUGGAUACUCUUCCGGAGGACCUGGGUUAAUUUCUCAGCAUCCACA